UCGACUUGACUUGUUAAGGAAACACUUCUUGUAACCCUACUGAUAGUAACCCUCUCUGUUUUGUUGAUUGAUUACAUUUGGCGAUUGGUUUAAUCCUCUCUAAACAAAGUCUUUGAGUAAAUGACUUUCUUUAUAACCUAUUAUCUGAACUUUUACUCAAGUUUCAAGUGCUGGACCUGACAGAGUUUAGCAAGGACACGUCCAGGAUUUCUAAGCAGCCGACAGCGCUCUCAAUCUGAAGUGACAUAAAUCGUGAUGAUGUGCGUGAAGAUUUGUACAUAUUCCCUGAUCUUUUUCAACAUUCUGGUCAUUCUGGUGGGUUUUGGAAUAACUGUUCUGGGAACAUGGUGUAUGUUCAUUGCUUCAGCCAUAGCAGCUUCACAAACUGGUGUGAUGUUUAUCGUCCCUGGUAUUCUGAUGAUGCUGGUCGCUGUCGGCGGCAAUUAUGCCGCAUGUAGCCAAAAAAAAACUGCUUUAAAUGUG